rnacentral:rRNA from 1 species
CCUACGGGAGACAGCAGUGAGGAAUAUUGGUCAAUGGACGAGAGUCUGAACCAGCCAAGUAGCGUGAAGGAUGACUGCCCUAUGGGUUGUAACCUUCUUUUAUAUGGGAAUAAAACGUUCCACGUGUGUGAUUUUGUAUGUACCAUCUGAAUAAGGAUCGCUUAACUCCGUGCCAGCACCCGCGGUAAUCCGGGGGAUCCGAGCUUUAUCCGGAUUUAUUGGGUUUAAGGGUGCCGUAGGUGGAGUGUUAAGUCAGGUGUAAAAGUUUGCGGCUCAACCGUAAAAUUGCAGUUGAAACUGGCAGUCUUGAGUACAGUAGAGGUGGGCGGAAUGCGUGGUGUAGCGGUGAAAUGCUUAGAUAUCACGAAGAACUCCGAUUGCGAAGGCAGUUCACUGGACUGCAACUGACACUGAGGCUCGAAAGUGUGGGUAUCAAACAGGAUUAGAUACCCCUGUAGUC